rnacentral:rRNA from 1 species
GAUGAACGCUGGCAGCGUGCCUAAUACAUGCAAGUCGAGCGAACAGACGAGGAGCUUGCUCCUCUGACGUUAGCGGCGGACGGGUGAGUAACACGUGGAUAACCUACCUAUAAGACUGGGAUAACUUCGGGAAACCGGAGCUAAUACCGGAUAAUAUAUUGAACCGCAUGGUUCAAUAGUGAAAGACGGUUUUGCUGUCACUUAUAGAUGGAUCCGCGCCGCAUUAGCUAGUUGGUAAGGUAACGGCUUACCAAGGCAACGAUGCGUAGCCGACCUGAGGGUGAUCGGCCACACUGGAACUGAGACACGGUCCAGACUCCUACGGGAGGCAGCAGUAGGGAAUCUUCCGCAAUGGGCGAAAGCUUGACGGAGCAACGCCGCGUGAGUGAUGAAGGUCUUCGGAUCGUAAAACUCUGUUAUUAGGGAAGAACAAAUGUGUAAGUAACUAUGCACGUCUUGACGGUACCUAAUCAGAAAGCCACGGCUAACUACGUG